GGGGGGGGGGGGGGGGGGGGGGGGGGGGGGGGGGGCGGGGGGGGGGGGCGGGCGGUGGUGGGGGGCGCGGGGGGGGCGGGGGUGGGUAGGACGUGAGUACCCUGCCCUUGACUUGGGGAUAACUUCAGGAAACUGGGGCUAAUACCGGAUAGGCGCUCCUGCUGCAUGGUGGGGGUUGGAAAGUUUCGGCGGUUGGGGAUGGACUCGCGGCUUAUCAGCUGGUUGGUGGGGGAGUGGCUUACCAAGGCUUUGACGGGUAGCCGGCCUGGGAGGGUGACCGGCCACAUUGGGACUGAGAUACGGCCCAGACUCCUCCGGGAGGCAGCAGGGGGGAAUAUUGCACAAUGGGCGGAAGCCUGAUGCAGCAACGCCGCGUGCGGGAUGACGGCCUUCGGGUUGUAAACCGCUUUCGCCUGUGACGAAGCGUGAGUGACGGUAAUGGGUAAAGAAGCACCGGCUAACUACGUG
rnacentral:rRNA from 1 species